rnacentral:rRNA from 1 species
CCUUAGUGGCGCACGGGUGCGUAACGCGUGGGAAUCUGCCCUUGGGUUCGGAAUAACAGCUAGAAAUGGCUGCUAAUACCGGAUGAUGACGUAAGUCCAAAGAUUUAUCGCCCAGGGAUGAGCCCGCGUAGGAUUAGCUAGUUGGUGGGGUAAAGGCUCACCAAGGCGACGAUCCUUAGCUGGUCUGAGAGGAUGAUCAGCCACACUGGGACUGAGACACGGCCCAGACUCCUACGGGAGGCAGCAGUGGGGAAUAUUGGACAAUGGGCGCAAGCCUGAUCCAGCAAUGCCGCGUGAGUGAUGAAGGCCUUAGGGUUGUAAAGCUCUUUUACCCGGGAUGAUAAUGACAGUACCGGGAGAAUAAGCUCCGGCUAACUCCGUGCCAGCAGCCGCGGUAAUACGGAGGGAGCUAGCGUUAUUCGGAAUUACUGGGCGUAAAGCGCACGUAGGCGGCUUUGUAAGUUAGAGGUGAAAGCCUGGAGCUCAACUCCAGAAUUGCCUUUAAGACUGCAUCGCUUGAAUCCAGGAGAGGUGAGUGGAAUUCCGAGUGUAGAGGUGAAAUUCGUAGAUAUUCGGAAGAACACCAGUGGCGAAGGCGGCUCACUGGACUGGUAUUGAC